rnacentral:rRNA from 1 species
AGUAACGCGUAUGCAACUUGCCUAUCAGAGGGGGAUAACCCGGCGAAAGUCGGACUAAUACCGCAUGAAGCAGGGAUCCCGCAUGGGAAUAUUUGCUAAAGAUUCAUCGCUGAUAGAUAGGCAUGCGUUCCAUUAGGUAGUUGGUGAGGUAACGGCCCACCAAGCCGACGAUCGGUAGCCGACCUGAGAGGGUGAUCGGCCACAUUGGGACUGAGACACGGCCCAA